UGGAAUGUAGCAUAAUUUGGUAGUGCACUUGAUUUGGGAUCAAGAAGGUGUGGGUUCAAAUCCCGUCAUUCCAA
rnacentral:tRNA from 1 species